rnacentral:rRNA from 1 species
GAUGAACGCUGGCGGCGUGCUUAACACAUGCAAGUCGAGCGGGCAAUUUAUCUAGCACUGAUUACUUCAAAUGGAAAUCAUAAGUGUAAUCAUGAAUUUCUACCUUUAAUAAAGAAAAAGAAAUUCAUGUACGCAAAUAGUGAUAACACAUUUUAGUGGAGUGAUGAGUGCUGGAUAAAUUGCUAGCGGCGGACGGGUGCGUAACACGUGGGUAACCUGCCCCUAUCACUGGGAUAACACACUGAAAAGUGUGCUAAUACCAGAUAACAUAAGCUUUUGGCAUCAUUAGCUUAUCAAAGAAUUUCGGAUAGGGAUGGGCCCGCGUCUGAUUAGCUAGUUGGUGAGGUAACGGCUCACCAAGGCAACGAUCAGUAGCCGACCUGAGAGGGUGAUCGGCCACACUGGAACUGAGACACGGUCCAGACUCCUACGGGAGGCAGCAGUGGGGAAUAUUGCACAAUGGGCGAAAG